rnacentral:lncRNA from 1 species
CGGGCCGGGGGCAGGAAGUGGCCUCGACGCGGGCGCGAGCAGGGCUGCCUGGCCGGGCUUCGCCUUUACAAAGUAAGUCGCGAGGGUCCGCGCAGCAGCGUCAGGCGGCGGCGGCGGCCCGCGCGCCCGCAGUCCGGAGCCCCCGGCCCGGCGGUCUUGCCGUCCCCCAUUCCAUCAGUUGCCAUUGCAACGCCAAUCCCGUUACACGACACAGGCUCGCAGCGCCGAGCGGGGAGAGGAGGCAGAGGAGGAGGAGGAAGAGGAGCGGCCCGGGGGACGGGGGUGGGGAGAGGCAAGGGAGGAGGGAAGGAGGAGCAGAGGACCGCCAGGGAGCGGAGUGCGCGUCGGCAGCUCCCGGGCUCCAGCCGCCGCCGCCGCCGCCGUUCUCCAAAGGAGCCUCAGCGCGCUGCCAGCGCGAGGGGCCCGGCCGCCGCGGCGAUCCCGGGGCCGCAGCCGAGGCCAGCAGCGCCGCGUGCCAGACGAGGAGCCGGCCCGGCAGAGCCGGGGUCCGCACGCGUCCCCGCGCGCCCCGCACCGCGCGCGUCCUCCGGCUCCGCGCCGCCCCCGCCAGGUGGAGGGUGGGGGCGCUCGGCCGGCGGGGGUUCGGGGGAGGGCGCCGCAGAAGGGCUUCCCCGCCCGGGCGAACGUGGCGCCGGCCUCCGGAGGCGAACGCGGGCGCGGCGGCCGCUCGGGCCCCGGUGGGCAGCGGCCGAGAGGCUCGACGCCGGCCGGGCUGCGGGGCGUGCGCGGGGGGCGCGGGGAGCGCGGCGGCGGCGAGGAGCAGGAGCAGUAGCAGGAGAAGUGGGGCGCAGCCGGCAGCGGCGGCCGGCGGCCCGGAGGAAGGCUGGGCGGUCACGUUGUGCGCUACGUGCCGAGAGCGCGAGCGGCUCCCGCAGCCGGCGACGUCAAAGCCGCCGGCCGCCGCGCCUCCUCCGCGCCGCCCCGGCCCGGCCGCCCGGCCAGCCCCACGGGUGACAGCGCGCCGGGCCCCGCGCGGCUGGGGGUCCGGUCUCUCCCCCGGAGCCCCGGGGCGGCCCCCGCAGCGUUUCUGCGGCCGCUGGCAGCGAGUGCCCGCCAGAGGGCCGGCGCCACCUCCGACCCGGUAUGAGUAUGAUGUUCCAACCUCAGCAGCAUAAGAGAGACCACAUCAUGAAGGGAGUCACGACUUGGCACAAGAGCCACCCAAGUGAGAAGAAGAGCAAUGCUGCUAAUAUUAGGAACAAGGAAGCACGUCAAAUCCCCGCGUACAGCCUGAGGAAGUCAAGGAGAGAUACAUGGCUUGAGGAGCAAGAAAAGACUCAAAGAAUAACCCCUGCAAGUAGCAGAUCCGGGGUCCACGUGAACAAGGAGGUGCCCGGGAGAGGCUGAGUGAGGGAUGCUGCUUUGAGAGGAUGCCAAGGUUAACUGGGAAGCUUGUAGUUUUUAUGAGCUCCAGAAUAUUAUGGAUAUGGUCACACAAAGGUUCCAAAGAGCUCACCCACCCGUCAUCAGGGCCUGCGUGUUUUGAAGGGCUUCCCCCGCUGGUCUGUUCAAUUUAUGGCAUCAUAGCUGUGAAUUAAGUCCAGGCUUCAGGACACCUGCUUUUCACCUUAUGAUGCAGGAGAUCCAAUGAUACUCAAAUUAUCUGUGGGAAAUAAGAAUGCUGUAUGGGGCACCUGGCCAGAACCUGCAGGAGAAUCGCAGUGCAAACUUCAAGGAUUUUGGAGAAAACCCAUACCUUUUUUGGCAGACAGGGACUUGGAAGAAAUAAGAAUGGAAGAUUGGUGAGAAGGAGCUCUUGGGAAGAAGUAUGUGAAUGGACCUCUCUGAAUGAGCACAGACUGUGAAGAGAGUUUUUUCCUU